rnacentral:ncRNA from 1 species
AGUACAAUCUGAACAGGCGGCGGAGCUUUCCGUGCUGCCGGGCCGCGCAAGAGCGGCAGCGGGGGUCGGCGUGACCGAUUGAAUAAGAAAGCGGAGUUUGAGUAAUAACCAAAACCGAUAAUUUUAAAUUUAAACACCUGCGGGACAGU